UGGGGAAUUUUGGUCAAUGGGGGAAACCCUGAUCCAGCCAUCCCGCGUGUGCGAUGAAGGCCUCCGGGUUGUAAAGCACUUUUGGCAGGAAAGAAACGUCAUGGGUUAAUACCCCGUGAAACUGACGGUACCUGCAGAAUAAGCACCGGCUAACUACGUGCCAGCAGCCGCGGUAAUACGUAGGGUGCAAGCGUUAAUCGGAAUUACUGGGCGUAAAGCGUGCGCAGGCGGUUCGGAAAGAAAGAUGUGAAAUCCCAGAGCACAACUUUGGAACUGCAUUUUUAACUACCGGGCUAGAGUGUGUCAGAGGGAGGUGGAAUUCCGCGUGUAGCAGUGAAAUGCGUAGAUAUGCGGAGGAACACCGAUGGCGAAGGCAGCCUCCUGGGAUAACACUGACGCUCAUGCACGAAAGCGUGGGGAGCAAACAGG
rnacentral:rRNA from 1 species